rnacentral:rRNA from 1 species
GACGAACGCUGGCGGCGUGCUUAACACAUGCAAGUCGAACGGAAAGGCCCUGCUUUUGUGGGGUGCUCGAGUGGCGAACGGGUGAGUAACACGUGAGUAACCUGCCCUUGACUUUGGGAUAACUUCAGGAAACUGGGGCUAAUCCCGGAUAGGAGCUCCUGCUGCAUGGUGGGGGUUGGAAAGUUUCGGCGGUUGGGGAUGGACGCGCGGCUUAUCAGCUUGUUGGUGGGGUAGUGGCUUACCAAGGCUUUGACGGGUAGCCGGCCUGAGAGGGUGACCGGCCACAUUAGGACUGAGAUACGGCCCAGACUCCUACGUGAGGCAGCGGUGGGGAGUAUUACACAGUGGGCGGGGGCCUGAUGCGACAACGCCGCGUGUGGGAUGACGGCCUGCGGGUAGUGAACCGCUGUCGCCUGUGACGAAGCGUGAGUGACGGUACUGGGUAAAGAAGCACCGGCUAACUACGUG